AACGAACGCUGGCGGCAGGCCUAACACAUGCAAGUCGAGCGCGCCCUUCGGGGUGAGCGGCGGACGGGUUAGUAACGCGUGGGAAUAUACCCGACACUAAGGAAUAGCCUCUGGAAACGGAGAGUAAUACCUUAUACGCCCUUCGGGGGAAAGAUUUAUCGGAUUUGGAUCGGCCCGCGUUAGAUUAGGUAGUUGGUGGGGUAACGGCCUACCAAGCCUACGAUCUAUAGCUGGUUUUAGAGGAUGAUCAGCAACACUGGGACUGAGACACGGCCCAGACUCCUACGGGAGGCAGCAGUGGGGAAUCUUGGACAAUGGGGGCAACCCUGAUCCAGCCAUGCCGCGUGAGUGAUGAAGGCCUUAGGGUCGUAAAGCUCUUUCGCCAGGGAUGAUAAUGACAGUACCUGGUAAAGAACCCGGCUAACU
rnacentral:rRNA from 1 species